rnacentral:rRNA from 1 species
GACGAACGCUGGCGGCGUGCUUAACACAUGCAAGUCGAACGGAAAGGCCCUGCUUUUGUGGGGUGCUCGAGUGGCUAACGGGUGAGUAACACGUGAGUAACCUUCCCUUGACUUUGGGAUAACUUCAGGAAACUGGGGCUAAUACCGGAUAGGAGCUCCUGCUGCAUGGUGGGGGUUGGAAAGUUUCGGCGGUUGGGGAUGGACUCGCGGCUUAUCAGCUUGUUGGUGGGGUAGUGGCUUACCAAGGCUUUGACGGGUAGCCGUCCUGAGAGGGUGACCGGCCACAUUGGGACUGAGAUACGGCCCAGACUCGUACGGGAGGCAGCAGUGGGGAAUAUUGCACAAUGGGCGGAAGCCUGAUGCAGCAACGCCGCGGGCGGGAUGACGGCCUUCGGGUUGUAAACCGCUUUCGCCUGUGACGAAGCGUGAGUGACGGUAAUGGGUAAAGAAGCACCGGCUAACUACGUG